UUGUUGUUGUUGUUGUUGUUCUGUUUUCUUUCUUCUCCGACAGAUGUGUUCUUGGAAUUUUUAUGUUUUGUUAACAUUAUCGUUACUGCAUCUAUCCAUUUUCCUGUUUCUUGGGUUUUCAUUUGUUUUGCUUGUAGAUCUGCACUUUUUGCUUGCCACCCUUUGUUUUCUUUCCUUUUUUGAUUCACUACGUAUAGACACUCGUAAUUUUGCUUCUGUUUUGGAUUUUACCAUCUGGGCAUUUUGAAACAUUUACAAUUUUGCAUCAUUUCCCAAGUUAUUAUAUGUUACUGUUGUGAAUUUCUUGCUAGAAUUACUGUACUUGGUUUGCAGACUUUGCCUUCUUCUGCCUUUUUUUGGUGGAGUGAUGAUGCUUGAGAACUAAAUAAAGAAUGGUGACAAUUGAAUCAUGGAACCUUUUCUUUGGUUUCAAGGAAAUAAUUAAAAUUCCAUGAUUUAUUGCUUUUCUUCUUUUGCCUUUAUGACUUUGGUGCUUUGAAGAGAGAGAGAGAGA
rnacentral:misc_RNA from 1 species